UACGUAGGGGGCAAGCGUUGUCCGGAAUUAUUGGGCGUAAAGCGCGCGUAGGCGGCUACCUAAGUCGGAUGUGAAAGCCCCUGGCUUAACCGGGGAAGUGCACCCGAAACUGGGUAGCUAGAGUGCAAAAGAGGGUCGCGGAAUUCCCAGUGUAGAGGUGAAAUUCGUAGAUAUUGGGAGGAACACCGGUGGCGAAGGCGGCGACCUGGGUUGACACUGACGCUGAGGCGCGAAAGCGUGGGGAGCAAACGGG
rnacentral:rRNA from 1 species